CACGUAGGGUGCGAGCGUUGUCCGGAAUUAUUGGGCGUAAAGAGCUCGUAGGCGGUGUGUCGCGUCGGCCGUGAAAACCUGCAGCUUAACUGUGGGCUUGCGGUCGAUACGGGCAUCACUGGAGUUCGGCAGGGGAGACUGGAAUUCCUGGUGUAGCGGUGAAAUGCGCAGAUAUCAGGAGGAACACCAAUUGCGAAGGCAGCUCGCUGGGACGUUACUGACGCUGAGGAGCGAAAGCCAGGGGAGCAAACGGG
rnacentral:rRNA from 1 species